rnacentral:rRNA from 1 species
UACGAAGGGGGCGAGCGUUGUUCGGAAUUACUGGGCGUAAAGCGCGCGCAGGCGGCUACUCAAGCAUGGCGUGAAAGCCCCCGGCUCAACCGGGGAGGGUCGUCGUGGACUGGGUGGCUUGAGGGCGGGAGGGGCUGGUGGAAUUCCCGGUGUAGUGGUGAAAUGCGUAGAGAUCGGGAGGAACACCCGUGGCGAAGGCGGCCAGCUGGACCGACCCUGACGCUGAGGCGCGAAGGCGUGGGGAGCGAACGGG